UUCUUCCCUCUCCUUGCGGUGAGGGCUACCUGUGUUGGGAUGAUGUCUUUUAAUAAAUCAUCUUGUUUUAGCAGAGGCCAGAAUCUGUUCAUGAUGGAUCUGACACAAUCCCAGCCUGCGUCAUAAGUGGCUAUACAUCGAAGUUGUUUGUUGUCUGGUUCGAUUUGUCUGUGAGGUGUUGUUUCCUCCAUUAUCAGACUCUC